rnacentral:rRNA from 1 species
GACGAACGCUGGCGGCGUGCUUAACACAUGCAAGUCGAACAGUGAAGCGCCUUCCUUUUUGGUGGGUGUGGAUGAGUGGCGAACGGGUGAGUAACACGUGAGUAACCUGCCCCCUUCUUCUGGAUAACCGCAUGAAAGUGUGGCUAAUACGGGAUAUUCUGGGUCUGUCGCAUGAUGGGUCUGGGAAAGAUAUUGUUUCGGUGGGGGAUGGGCUCGCGGCCUAUCAGCUUGUUGGUGGGGUGAUGGCCUACCAAGGCGGUGACGGGUAGCCGGCCUGAGAGGGUGGACGGUCACACUGGGACGGAGACACGGCCCAGACUCCUACGGGAGGCAGCAGUGGGGAAUAUUGCACAAUGGGCGCAAGCCUGAUGCAGCGACGCCGCGUGAGGGAUGGAGGCCUUCGGGUUGUGAACCUCUUUCGCCAGUGAAGCAGGCCUGCCUCGUUUGUGGGUGGGUUGACGGUAGCUGGAUAAGAAGCGCCGGCUAACUACGUG